UACGGAGGGAGCAAGCGUUACUCGGAAUUAUUGGGCGUAAAGGGCGCGUAGGCGAUUUGAAAAGUCUUGUGUGGAAGCCCCGAGCUUAACUCGGGAAGUGCACAAGAAACUGUUGAAUUUGAGUUCCGGAGAGGAAGGCAGAAUUCCCGGUGUAGCGGUGAAAUGCGUAGAUAUCGGGAGGAAUACCAGUGGCGAAGGCGGCCUUCUGGACGGAUACUGACGCUGAGGCGCGAAAGCCAGGGGAGCAAACGGG
rnacentral:rRNA from 1 species